rnacentral:rRNA from 1 species
GCGCGAAACUUUACAAUGCUGGCAACAGCGAUAAGGGGACCUUGAGUGCCAGGAUACAAUCCUGGCUGUCGUGAUGCCUAAAAAGCAUUAUAUAGCAAGGGCCGGGCAAGACCGGUGCCAGCCGCCGCGGUAACACCGGCGGCUCGAGUGGUAACUGCUAUUAUUGGGUCUAAAGGGUCUGUAGCCGGCUUGGUUAGUCUCUUGGGAAAUCCGGCAGCUUAACUGUCGGGCUUUCAGGAGAUACUGCCAGGCUCGAGACCGGGAGAGGUGAGAGGUACUUCAUGGGUAGGGGUGAAAUCUUGUAAUCCUUGAAGGACCACCAGUGGCGAAGGCGUCUCACCAGAACGGAUCUGACGGCAAGGGACGAAAGCUAGGGGCACGAACCGGAUUAGAUACCCGGGUAGUCCUAGCCGUAAACGAUACUCGCUAGGUGUCGGCCACGGUGCGACCGUGGUCGGUGCCGUAGGGAAGCCGUGAAGCGAGCCACCUGGGAAGUACGGCCGCAAGGCUGAAACUUAAAGGAAUUGGCGGGGGAGCAC